AUGAAAGAAAAAAGAUUUCUCAACCGGAUCGGGCCGUACAAACGGUGGUACUCCGGCGAGCUCUUCUCACGAAGCAAUUUCCAUUCGCUUCCAAAGAGUUGACUUGAUGGUUUAAUUUCAGGCCGCCUGUCCUUCGAUGGAAACACGCAAGUACUCAGAUAAGGAUUUACGGAUGUGAACUUGAUUCGUCUUCCCAGAGGUUAGUAAAUGCUAAAUUCUUGCAAUUUUCGCUUUGAAAACCCGUUCCUUUCAGUUUUCAUUAAUGCAAUGGCCGUUUACACCAGUUGCCGAAUCCAAACAGCAUAUGUGAACUUGAUGAUUCUGAGAUGAACAACGGAUGUAAGGGCUGACAAGACAACUUUGCAUACAGCGAAUAAUCUUAUUAGUAACCCUAGCAUAAUUAGUUUCAAUUUUAUGAGAAGCACAUGGUUUAUCUAUUGAUUUGUCUCUUCGAUUUCUUUGCUUCCCUGGUAUAGGGUUGUUAGUAUACAUUUAGUAUGUUUUUUGUGAGUCUGAAUAAUUCAAGCAGAUCAUGAUAUAGCAUCAAUUCAUUCCAAUCCUCUACUUCAUUUGCGUUAAAAUCAUAUUUGCAGUGCCCAACCAAAGUUGAUUUUUUAGUUUGUUUAUCUCAUUAUUGUUUGCUGGUGGUGAUCAUUGUCUAUCAUAUGAUGAUCAUUAUAACAAUCAGUCAAUCAUAAUGAUAGAAGUUUACAAAAAUUAAUACUUGUAUGCUUGUACUACCUGCUUUUUUCUUUCUGAAACUUCGUUUGGUCCUUCAAGCCUCCCUUUCACAAGAAAGGGGUAAAAACUUAUAUAUUUGGGUUAUGCAAUUUGUUUACCAUUUUUUUGAAUAAUCACCAACAAUCAGUUGCCAUGUUAAGGUAAAUAGUUCUUCUAUAAAGAAAUAUUUGUGUCUGUAACUAGAAACCGGCAUAAGUCUCCCAUAAAGAGAAAUCACAUUAAAGAUUUACUGCUGCAGUAAAAUAAAUAAUAAAUACAAUUUUUGUAUAUACAAGUUUCACAUUCAAAGUCAAAGUAUGCCAACUAAUAGAGAAAAGAGUGAGUAUCUAUAUGAUAAUAGGCGUCUAUAUUUAUAGCAUCACUCACAUUAUUCUACAUGUAAAUUCAUAGGCUAUUUGUUCUCUUAAGCUUUUCUGUGUUACCAUCUUCAGUGGUUAAUCACACAUAUUAAUAUAUAUACAUAACCCACCUGUAACUGUAAGCUAUUUAUAUUGAAAAUCAGCAACCUCUCCAAGUUCUUCCACUUCUUUAGCCAACACUUUUACUUUAUCAACUAUCUCCAUCAAUAGAAACAUAAAGUUUGCUACAGCAAGAGCUUCAACAGUUUCAAAUGCUUGUAACUCUGAACUUGAAAGUAUAGUCAACUCUAGUUUAGUGGAUUGUAAUUCUGGAAGCACUAGGACUUUUUCAUUCCCCCUUCUCAUUUUCAUGAUACUUUCUCCUAGCUCUCUUAGGGUAACUCCAAGUGACAACCCUACAUUCUUGCAUGUCUCUUUGAUGGGCUCUUGUAGAGUUCUUGAGGGCUAUGCAUACAAAUCAACAUUAUAUGUCUACUUUGUAACUAUGUACAAAAUCAUCUGUUGUAUUAACAUUAGUCUAAAUCUAAAGAGUACCUGUAAUGGUGAUUCGAUACAUGCUUGCAGUGACAAAAUGAUUGAAGCUAGCUCCCUGAGUUUCUCUCCUAUCUGUAGAUAUUUCUCCCAAGGAUAGCAAAAUCCAAAAUUUCCAUGCCAAGGUUCCCACCUCGAAAAAUUAGCCUAAAAAGUACAACAAAAUUUAAAUAUUCCUCUUAAAAUUUACGUGUAUCCAAGAUUAUUCACUGAGUUUAAUAGGAUAAAUGAUAUUAAUUACCAGUGACUCAUCACUCGACUUUGAAUGCAACACUGCUUUGCAACUGCUGGUGUUGAUACUUUUUCUUCCUUCUUUCUCGCUCACAUUAAAAUAUGCUUCCAUGCAUUCUGCAAUUCAUCAUCUAUCAGUUUGUUACAAAGUCAAAAUCAUUUUUUUUGUUUGGGUGUAAUUGAUUAAUUAAUUAAUUACCUUCAAUGCAGGAAGCUAGUUUGGUGAAGUUGGAUGAUGUGGAGCGAUGAAGUUCAUCACUAGCCCACAUGGGGAAUAUGAGUAAGCUGGUUAUAAUGCAGACAGAAAAACCCAUCCCAAUAUUAGUGAGACGUUCACGUGCUAAUUCCAAGAUCUUAUCAGCACGCAAACCAGACACAGCUACCAGAUUAAAGGUGAGAAUAAAGAUCAUAACUCCAUAAUCAUAUCUCUUUUUUAUGCUUGGAAUCAUUCGGUAGUAUGUUGCCACAGCACCUAAACAUUAUUAUAAUUUAUUAUAUGUACACAAGGUGAAUAUACAAAAGAUUUUGCAUAUCCUUACCAAAAAUAAAAACCGAGUUUCCAACAACUAUUGUGUUUCCAGUCUUUCCAAAUUUAUCUGCCAAAAUGGCUGUGAAACACCCUAAUCCACCUCCAAGUAUGGUGCCAAUUCCACGAAGUAACCCUUUACUUAAUGUGGCACCUGUUGUAUGUUACACAAAUUAAAGAAUAAUUGAAAACUGAAACCAUAGAAACUAUCUUUAAAAUGUGUUGGUAGUUACUAACCUGCAUAGAAAUCAUAGACAACAACAACAGUCAUGAUAGCCCACAUGGCAUUUUCUCCAACUUGCUCAAAAAGUGGAUCAAGGAGAUAGAGGAGUGAAACUAAAACCAAAGCAGUUCCAACUUUGAUACUAUGAAUAACUCUUUUUGCAUCCUGUUCAUGAUGUUUGCUUAUAAGAUACCAAACAUUAAAAAGGGCAAAGUGUUUAUUUUGCUUCUCCUUGUUAGGAGAAGCUUCAUUUUCAUUACAAAUGUGUAUUGUGGUGCUCAUGUUUUUUCCACACUUUUCCUCUUUGGGAUGAGUCACACUUCUUUAUAUAGGAAUUGGUGUGGAGUUACACUUAUAUGGGACAUGUUCAAGUGCUAAAAUGGAAUUUGUCUCCUAAAAAUUUAAUCUGUAUGUGUACUUAUUAGUUACUUGAUAAGAUAAUUGCAUUAUGCACAUCCAUCACUAACAUCAAUAUUUUAAUAGAUAUUUACUUUCCCUCUAUUCUUAUUUACUUCAUUUUGGGAUUUCUUAUUCUGUUUUACUGACUAUGUUACUGUUUUAGUAACAUCACCAUGAAUAAUAAUAAGCAUAUAAUAAGACAAAACCAAACCACCCUAAUCGUUGGAUAUAAAUAUUUAUAUUUCCACUUACAUGUGACCCUAUGAUGACAUAAACGGGCCCUCUCUUUCCCUUAAUGUGAUUAGAUAUUCAUUUGUGUAACCUUUUAGUAUAUUAAAAACAAGUACUAUUGUCGUACUAAAGAUUAUAAAAGCAUAAUGAUUCAUCUAAGAUGAAGGCUUAAGAGAAUUAAAAAGUCUAGUCAACUCCGAGGAGUUGACCUAAUGUGCUGAAUACAAAACCCUAAUUAUAAUUUAUAAACAUGGAAGUGCAUAAUAUUUAUUAAAUGCUGAAAUACAUAAGUUAGGUAAAGAAAAUUCAAUAGAAAGAGACCCAAUCAAGUAAAUAGAAAGUGACCCAUAUGCUCUCUAGUGUUGAUGACAUGAGGAGAUUUGGUGCUUUAAAGUUCCAGGUGAUGGGAAAUUCUUUUUUUUUUUUUUAAUAUUUUAUUUAUUGUACCAAAAUCCGUACUUAUUGCAUGAUGGUUUCUACUUUGUAGCACCUAGUGUGAGUGUGACCACAUUUUCCGCAGUUUACUCCACAUUCCUAUGUUAUUUUCUAUCUCAUUUUCACACUAGACAUCUUUACACACAAAUUCAAAAGAAAACCCAUGCGUUAAUCAUUUCUCCAUUAUUUAUAUUUAUAUGUAUUCUAGAACACUAACUUUUAAUGAUAUGUGAACACUUACUUUGCUUCACUUAUGAUCAUAUAUAUUAAGGACAUCAAAAGUCAAAGCUGUUGUUUCCAACUUUUAAACUCUCAAAUCUUGUCCAAGUUAGUGUUAAUGAGAUACAAUUAGACGUCAUGAGUGACUUCUGAAUGUUGGUGCUGAAGCAAUUGGACACUGAGAUUGAUGCUUCAAAAAUCAUUUAAGUUUUUGCAUUUUCUUUUUGGGUAAAAUUUUGUGUUUGAUAAUGCAAUUUUUGAAGGCGUAAAUCGCUAAUUUCUGAGUAAAGUUGUAACUUUCACUUAGUGAAUUAUGCCAUUUGUGAGGUUAUCUUCUUUUUAUUAAUGGUUGACAAUCCACCAACUGAAACUGAUUUGUAUAAAAUCAACAUAAGCAUGAUGUCAAUCAAGGAUUCAGAGUAAAGAAUGACGUGUUUAAGUAUCGUUUUUAGCAGAGUAAAGAAGUGGAAUUUUUAAGGAAUAAUCAAUGUUGUAUUAGUCAUAUUCAUCUAUUUUUUAUGUAGCAUCACCUUGCGAACCCUAUGAGACGAUUUUUGAAAAGUACAGGGACCUAGAUGGGAAGUAGCUCAAAGUUACAGUAAAAUUUGUAAAUUUCAACCCUGCACUUUGUUAAGGAAAUUUGGUGGCUUAAAGGUGGAACGGAAGGAGAGACAAAAUUGAAAGGCAGGCAGGAAAAUUGCUGAAUGUCAUUCUCCUAUGUACCAACAUCUGUCUCUAUCAUGCUCUGCCUUUUUUCACUAAAUCAUCCGUGCACCACUACAACCAAAAUGAUUUAAACUCAUAAAUUCUCUAUAUUUUAAAUUAUUUAUUAACGGCUGUCAUUUCUUUUCUAAUAAAACAAAACUGAAUUUAUGGUAUAUUCUUUACCUAAUAUGUCAUCAUCAUCAUCAUCACCUCAACUUUUUUGCUUAGUUUUUGUAUUUUGUCACGGGUCAAAACGCUAAUCCUCCUUUAGAAUGUUGAAAAAAAUGGAAAUUUGAAUUCCAGCUACUCUUCAUACUUCGUAUUAAUUAUUUUCUUAUACAUUUUUGUACGUGUUUAUUGACAAAAUGAUAUAUUAUAUUUCUGUACGUGUUUACUGGUAAAAUUGUUUCAUCUGUAAGUUAUUUGAUGCAGUACUGGUGGAUAAAAUUGGUGGUGUUUUAAAAAGGUGGACACGUGGAAUUUUACUAUCUAAAGAAAAUCAUGUAUGUAAGCUUUUAACGCUUUCUGUUUCUUAGGUUUAAUAUCAUGAGCCUCUUCAAAGAUAUUAGAUUGUUAUUUUAAUUCUAUAUGCAAUAAAGUUUAACACAUUAAUCAUUUAUGAUAUAUAUUUUUAAAAUGGACAAAAGACCAUUGGCAAGCUGGCCCGGCCCGACCCAUACUAAAACAACUUUUGACCCACCCAUUUCCCCAUCUUUACUUUUCGUAAGUGGUUAUUAACUAUUUUGUUGAAGAUAAAAAGGAUGCUUUUCUUCCUAUCAAAUCCAAUGGGCCCAUAAUUUGGUAUUUGUCUGCUGUGGCCUAAAAUUCAACAUAAUGUAUGCUAAUCACCAUGAACUAACUGGCUGUGUUCAGAUCACUAAUCAUGCACCUACACAGCAUAACCAUUUUGGAACAAAAAAAAAAAAAUCGUUUUUUACAUGGUUAACCAAUUUUCCUAUGUAUAUUUUUUUUUCUUUCGUUCCAUCAUUUGGGUCUCAUACAUCGGUCAUUAUCUCAUUCUAAUGCAUAUCAAAUAUGAACAUAUUGUCAUGCUGUGUCUAGGAAAUGGGCCCAAAACUGUGUACUGUGUUGACAUAAUAAGAGACUGGUUUUAUAUGCAAUUGGUUGUUUUGAUAGUGUAAAACCUUUCUAAGAAAAACCACCUACCUACCUAAUCAGUAAUCACAAUAUCACAAUGCUCAUAAUAAUGGAGAGUCCACUAAAAAAAUUUCCAUUUAUUGUUGGUGGCAUAAGUCAUAAGAUAUGGAGAUGGGAUUUAUCAUUUAUGGUGGAGGAUGAGUUGCUCAUCUCAUCCUUUCUGUCCAAAACCCUAACCCUACCUUAAUCUCUUAGGUUUUAGUCCUCUAGUUGGCCCUACAUGUGUGCGUUUUUUUUUCGGAUGAUUUGAUUUGCUAAUUGUUAUUACUUUUGUGGCUGUGUGUUCUGUUUAGGGUUAAUUGUUAAUAGACAUCAUCGAUUUAACUAUUUAUAUUUUUAAUGGGUAUUUCAAGUAUUUGAUCAUAAGUCCAAAAAAAAAAUUGAAUUAUAUGUCGAGUGUUGGUGUGUUUUAUUUAGGGUUAUUUGCAAGAAAGCUGAGUUUUUAUGGUUUUACACUUAUUGUAAAUUUUACUAAAUUUACCCUGUAAUUUUGAUAUGAAUUCUUAAUUUGGUAUAUUUUUAAUCCUUUUUACCGGUUUCUCGGUUUCCUUAAGAUGAAACUCACAAGAAUAUCCUUAAGUUUGUAGUUCUUUUUGCAGUUUUACCUAAAGUUUAUUAUUAUUAUUAUUAUUUUAAUUUAUUUUUAUCGCCAAUUUUACCCAAUAGAUUUCAUAUAACUUGUUAAUUUCUCAUUCACCUCUUUCUCUGCUCAUGUUCACUUGGCAUUUUUUUGUUGACAUUGUAUGUAAAUAAACGCCUUACUUGUCAACCAAACAACAUUUUUGUAAUUAACGUUACUUUAAUUACAAAAAUGUGUAUAAUUAUUGCAAUUGCCAAGACGUAGCUAUCUAUGCCUACACUUGUGAAUAGUUUGUUAGAGAAAGCAUUGUAAGAUGUACACAUUUGUUUCGACUUUUGAUAUGUAUGCAUGAAUUUCAUUAAUUUAAUAUGGUUUUUGGGAGUUAUUAUUUAUCAUAUUUGUGAGGAAGUUGCUAACAAAUAAUACAAGUUAAAAGGAAUAAAAUCAUCGUAUAAUCUUUAUUUAUAAUCUCAUUUUUAAUUAUAAGAAAGUUCUAUUAAUUAUAUUAUAUAAUUUCCCAUAUAAUCACUGUCGAUCCAAAAGACUUGUAAUAAAUUUAUAUAUCUUGUUCGAUAAUCAUUCACGGAUUAGUAUCCGACACACUUUCAUCUCAAAGAUCAUUCAAACAAGAUAUACAAUAAUAUUUCUUUUACCAAUGUCUUUCGGAUCCUACGAAUGAAUAUCCACGGACGUACAUGUGUUUGAUGUAACAAUCUCUUACCCUUACCUAAAUAGUAGAAGAAUGUCGACAAAUUGAUCAUGCAAGCCUACUAACUCCCAUUGUUGGUUGAAAUCUAUUCAUUUAGGUAGCGUUUGGUACAUGGACAACAUUUGACUGGACUGGAUUGGACAUAAAUGGACUGCACUGGACAGAAUAUAACUAAAUAACUUGUUUGGAUUGUGUUUGGUACGACAAUGAAAUGUUGGGACAGAACAAGACAGUAAAAUUACCAUAUCGUCCCUACACCACAUAAUAAUUAUAAGUGAUGUACGUUAUAUAUAUAUAUAUAUANNNNNNNNNNNNNNNNNNNNNNNNNNNNNNNNNNNNNNNNNNNNNNNNNNNNNNNNNNNNNNNNNNNNNNNNNNNNNNNNNNNNNNNNNNNNNNNNNNNNNNNNNNNNNNNNNNNNNNNNNNNNNNNNNNNNNNNNNNNNNNNNNNNNNNNNNNNNNNNNNNNNNNNNNNNNNNNNNNNNNNNNNNNNNNNNNNNNNNNNNNNNNNNNNNNNNNNNNNNNNNNNNNNNNNNNNNNNNNNNNNNNNNNNNNNNNNNNNNNNNNNNNNNNNNNNNNNNNNNNNNNNNNNNNNNNNNNNNNNNNUAUAUAUAUAUAUAUAUAUAUAUAGGGUUAGGUUAUUUUGUUUUUGCUAAGUAUUGUGUGCUUUUAUAAAGGAUUCUAGGCCAAUCAUUUGUGGUUAAUUAAGAAAGUGAUUUUCUUUUAAAAUUAAAUAGAAAAAAAAAACAAAUUCAUAGACUUUCAUUGUUUGACUGGUCAUGGAAGGGUAAAAUGGUACACUGCCUCGUCAUUUUAUUAGGAAACGGUCGAUAACUAUGGAAGUGAUCAACCGAUAAUCCCACAUAUCUCGC
rnacentral:lncRNA from 1 species